rnacentral:rRNA from 1 species
UACGGAGGGGGCUAGCGUUAUUCGGAAUUAUUGGGCGUAAAGGGCGUGUAGGCGGCCGCGUAUGUCCCAUGUGAAAGCCCCCGGCUCAACCGGGGAACUGCAUGGGAAACGGCGUGGCUUGAGUCCGGGAGAGGAGAGCGGAAUUCCCAGUGUAGCGGUGAAAUGCGUAGAUAUUGGGAGGAACACCGGUGGCGAAGGCGGCUCUCUGGACCGGUACUGACGCUGAGACGCGAAAGCCAGGGGAGCAAACGGG